UACGGAGGAUCCGAGCGUUAUCCGGAUUUACUGGGUUUAAAGGGUGCGUAGGCGGGCGCCUAAGUCAGCGGUGAAAUGCAGCGGCUCAACCGUUGAUCUGCCGUUGAAACUGGGCGCCUUGGAUGCGGUCGAGGCCGGCGGAAUGCGUGGUGUAGCGGUGAAAUGCUUAGAUAUCACGCAGAACGCCAAUUGCGAAGGCAGCUGGCCGGGCCGCAAUCGACGCUGAGGCACGAAAGCGUGGGGAUCAAACAGG
rnacentral:rRNA from 1 species